AGCGAACGCUGGCGGCAGGCCUAACACAUGCAAGUCGAACGAACUCUUCGGAGUUAGUGGCGGACGGGUGAGUAACACGUGGGAACGUGCCUUUUGGUUCGGAAUAACUCAGGGAAACUUGUGCUAAUACCGAAUGUGCCCUUCGGGGGUAAGAUUUAUCGCCAUUAGAGCGGCCCGCGUCUGAUUAGCUAGUUGGUGAGGUAACGGCUCACCAAGGGGACGAUCAGUAGCUGGUCUGAAAGGAUGACCAGGCACACCGGGACUGAGACACGGCCCCGACCUCCGACGGAGGACGGAAGUGGGAAAGCUGCCGCAAGGGGGAAAGGCCGACGUCGCCCUUGCGGGUUGAUUUGUGAGGUUCUAAGAAUGGAAAAGUCCUUUCACCGGGAACAUUAUGACGGUAACCUGAAAAAAAGGCCCGGCUAACUUCGUG
rnacentral:rRNA from 1 species